UGAGGGACGAAAGCUAGGGGAGCGAAAGGGAUUAGAUACCCCUGUAGUCCUAGCUGUAAACGAUGGAUACUAGGUGUUGGACGUAUCGACCCGUUCAGUACCGCAGCCAACGCGAUAAGUAUCCCGCCUGGGGAGUACGCACGCAAGUGUGAAACUCAAAGGAAUUGACGGGGGCCCGCACAAGCGGUGGAGUAUGUGGUUUAAUUCGAUGCAACGCGAAGAACCUUACCAGGGCUUGACAUCCCGCGAACCUUGAUGAAAGUCGAGGGUGCCUUCGGGAGCGGGGAGACAGGUGGUGCAUGGCUGUCGUCAGCUCGUGUCGUGAGAUGUUGGGUUAAGUCCCGCAACGAGCGCAACCCACGUCCUUAGUUGCCAGCAUUAAGUUGGGCACUCUGGGGAGACUGCCGGGGACAACUCGGAGGAAGGUGUGGAUGACGUCAAGUCAUCAUGCCCCUUACGUUCUGGGCUACACACGUACUACAAUGCUUCGGACAAAGGGCAGCCAACUAGCGAUAGUGAGCUAAUCCCAUAAACCGAGGCACAGUUCAGAUUGCAAGCUGCAACUCGCCUGCAUGAAGGAGGAAUCGCUAGUAAUCGCCGGUCAGCAUACGGCGGUGAAUACGUUCCCGGGCCUUGCACACACCGCCCGUC
rnacentral:rRNA from 1 species